rnacentral:rRNA from 1 species
ACCCGCUGAAUUUAAGCAUAUCAUUAAGCGGGGGAAAAGAAACAAAAUUGGAUUCCUUUAGUAGCGGCGAGCGAAGAGGGAAAAGUUCAUUGUGUAAAUCAGUAGUUUACUGCUGAGUUGUAGUGUCAGUAUGGUAGGCCGACGAUUUCCAGGAUGGAAAGCUGUUUGGAAAAAGGCACAUGUUUGGGUGAAAGUCCUGACAUCUUAUCCUGUAUUGUUUACGGUCUUUUGUACAAGAGUCUCGCUCUUUGAAACCAGAGUGACAAUAGGUGGUAGUUAUCACCUAAGACAGAGUAUUGCUGAGGUAAGCGAUAGCAUAAAAGUACCGUGAGGGAAAAUUGCAAAGUACUCUGGAAAGAGAGUGAAAUAGAACUGAAGUCGUUUAAAGGUAAGUAGGUGAAUGAUGCACAUCUAACAACAAAUUUUUCGGGUUUGUUUCUAUGCGUGUGCGUUACUGAAACAUUUGUUGUGAUCAUGUUUACAUGUUUUCAUGAAUGAUUUUAGUUUCGUUAUCUCGAAGGAUGAAACCAGACUUCGUAAGCGCAAUGUUUCGUUCACCUGUCCCGUCUUGAAACACGGACCAAGGAGUUUAGUAUGCAUGCAAGUGGAAGAGAAGAAACUUUUCGCGAAUCUAACGAGAUUGUUGGGCAGCCGAUUAUCAUUGGCUUCACCAACCACCAGGUGGCAUUCUUUGUUCAUCUGUGUGAAAGCAUGCAUAAUAAGACCCGAAAGGACUUGAACUAUACCUGUUUUGAGCAAAGCUGGGAGAAAUCCUUGUGGAGGCUCAGAUCGAUACUGACGUGCAAAUCGUUCGUAUAAGAUGGGUAUAGGGGCGAAAGACUAAUCGAAAGUCCUAGUAGCUGGUUCCCUUCUAAGUUUCCCUCAGGAUAGCUGGCGUCUUUCAAGUUGCUCCAUGUAAAGUUAAUGAUUGGGAGGGAGGGAGAUUGUUAAUCUUCCACUCACUUUCAAACUUUUAAAUGGUGCCUCCAUACGUGCAGGAAUACUUCAUGGUUGUGGAUCAAUUAUGACGCUCAGUGGGCCACGCUUUGGUAAGCAGAGCUGGCGAUAGGGAUUACUCCCUUAGCCUAGUUAAGGUGCCGAACUGCUCGCUCAUUUAUACUAAAAGGUUAUCAAUUCAUCUUGACAGCAGGACGGUGGUCAUGGAAGUCGACAUCCGCUAAGGAAUGUGUAACAACUCACCUGCCGAAUGAAUUGGUCCUGAAAAUGGAUGGCGUCGCAGCGAGUGACCAAUGCUAGGCAACCACAUAAGUGUAUUGUGGUUUGUAGAAGGGCGUGGGCAUUUCGACGAAGCAUAGUUGUGAAGCUAUGUUGAGAAGUGUCUAGUGCAGAUCUUAGUUGUAGUAGCAAUUAUUCAAUUUCGAUCAUUGAAGACUGAUGUGGAGGAAGUUUCCAUGUCAACAUUCUGUGGACAUGGGUCAAACGGUCCUAAAGAGAGACUGCUAGUCAUUACACUGUAAUUCGCCCAGUCUCUUAAAGGGUGUUUGGUUAAUAUUCCAAACAAAUGUGCGCUGGUGUUUGGAUGGCAACAUCAGGGUCAUGGUCUUUCGAACAGUGGAACCGAACUGCGUUUUCUAUGCAAUUUAACAGUGUUAUUCCCUUGAAUCAGUUUCACUGGAGACAGGGAGUCUAUGCUGGCAAAGGGCCUUAUUCUUUGAGGCUUUCGGUUCCCACUGUCCAUUCAAAAAGCGCUAUGACUAUACACACCAGCUAUGCCGUACUGGUAUCCGCAUCUGGUCUCCAAGGUUCGUAGCCUCUUGAUACUGGAAACUUGUAGGUGAAGGAAGUCGGCACCUUAGAUCUGUAACUUCGGAAGAAGGAUUGGCUCUGAGGGUGGGGAGUAUGCACUGUUAUUGAACUUGUGUGACUGCCUGACAUACCUGAGAUUCGUUCUUAAGGUGUUGUGGGUUGGUUAUGCAUUUUCAUAGCGGUUAUAGUAUACUUCUCUUAAACUAACUCAGAACUGAAGCGGUCAAGAGGAAUCCGACUGUUUAAUUAAAACAAAGCAUUGUGAUAUUGUUAACACAAUUUAACACAAUGUGAUUUCUGCCCAGUGCUCUGAAUGUCACUUUGAUGAGAUUCAACUAAGCGCGGGUAAACGGCGGGAGUAACUAUGACUCUCUUAAGGUAGCCAAAUGCCUCGUCAUCUAAUUAGUGACGCGCAUGAAUGGAUUAAUGAGGUUCCUUCUGCCUCCACCUACUUUCCAGUGAAACCACAGCGCAGGGAACGGUCUGCGAAUGAAUAACGGGGAAAGAAGACCCUGUUGAGCUUGACUCUAGUCCGACUUUGUAAAACGUUUUGGGAGGUGCAGUAUAAGUGGGAGCUUCGGCGUUCUUGAGAUACCACUACUUCUGAAUUCGUUUUACUUAUUCCGUGUGUUUUGAAAGAAGUUUCUUCUGUAUUCACAUACUAAAGAACAUUGUUCCAAAUAUCACGGAAGAAAGAGUCGGGUGGGGAGUUUGGCUGGGGCGGCACAUCUGUUAAAAGCCAACGCAGGUGUCCAAUGAGCAGCUCAGUGAGAACAGAAAUCUCACGUUGACCAAAAGGGGAUAUGCUGCUUUAACCUAGUUUUCCAGUAUGAAACUAGGAUGCGAAAGCACGGCCUAUCGAUCCUUUCUGUUGAUGAAUAUUCAGCGAGAGGUGCCAGAAAAGUUACCACAGGGAUAACUGGCUUGUGGCAGCCAAGCGUUCAUAGCGACGUUGCUUUUUGAUCCUUCGAUGUCGGCUCUUCCUACCAUUGAGAUGCAGCUGUCUCAUAGUGUCGGAUUGUUCACCCGUUAAUAGGGAACGUGAGCUGGGUUUAGACCGUCGUGAGACAGGUUAGUUUUACCCUGUUAUUCAGUUACUUUAGCAGUAAUUCAACUCAGUACGAGAGGAACAGUUGAGUCAAACAAAUGGGUAAGCAAAGUACUGAUCAGUACGUUUUGCAUUCCUAUGUUUGUCAGAUAUCGACUGAACGCCUCUAAGUUGGUA